UUUUUUUUUUUUUUUCCAUAUAUAAAUGGAGACGAAUUCAUAACUUCAACUUUUCCUAGGUUGGGUGUAAGGGGUCUGCUGACCGUGUUUAAACGGAUGGCACAAGCUAAGUUUUCUUGGAUUAAUCAAAAUUAAUAAAUUUAAUUUUUCUUAUAAAAAGCUUCAAUUUUUAUCCAAGCUGGAAGGUACACUUGCCAUCAAGUUCUCACAUUAAGGUACACUUACCAUCAAGUUCUCACAUU
rnacentral:misc_RNA from 1 species